AGGAUGCACAGACUUCUGGCCAAGGCAUUGCAAGAAUAUACCAAAAAUAGAAAGAAAGAAACUGUCUGGAGAAGGAGACAGGACUGUGGAUUCUCCUGGAUUGAUUUUCACCAUGCGUUUCAACACCCUGAGCCUAGGAACUAAAGCUUUUCCUGGUGCAGUUCAGCUGCCCUGGGUGGAUUUACUGCACAGCCAACGCGAUGCAAAGAGGCUGACUCGAGGCACAGAGCAAGAGAUGGACAAUGUGGGGCUGCUGCUGGUGGAGAGGGUUCAGGCACCGUGCUGGGGAAGUCAGAGGACGUGCAAGACCUGCGAUCCAUAGUGUAGCACUAAGCAAUGGCACCAGAGGGCUUGACUUGCAGAUGGGCUCUUGGGCACUAAAUGUUGAAUUGCACAUUCUGGCAGCUCUGGGCAUGGCCAGAAACUGAAAGUGAGAAGAUGGGUUCCUCAGUACCAGUGGGGUCUUCGGAGGUUUCAGGUUUCAGAAGCAUCUGAAUUCCUUGUUUCGAGGACCUAAAUUUUGGUCCUGGUAUUUAACUGGAGGUAAAAUAGGAAAAUGGCUUUUUGAUGGUUCUAGCCAUCAGUCCUAAAGUAAAUCAUUAUUAUAAAGAAUGUAAAGACAUGAAGAAAUCCUUCCCCAAAGUAUGAAUGAUCCGUCUAAGUCCCUUCCAUUUUAAACUACUUAAAUCCCCUGUAUUUCUGUGGGCAAUGUUUGCUGCUACCUUAUGGCUGGUAAUACUAACUUUCUCAGUUUUCUUAGUCAACGGGGCUCCUUUAUGUUCCCUGCCCCUAAAAAACUCUCCUCCUCUGCUCCCUGUGGUUCUUCAUAUCUCAGUUAAUUUUAUCUGGACACACUAAGACUGUGUGUCCUUACCUAACAUAGAGACAGCAAUUUGUAUUAACACCUGAGCAGAGUGAUCUAAAGAAGGACCUCCGCAGAUAUUGGAUCACUGUUCUAUGGACAGGAACAUCUUCUCAUAUUUACCUGUAUCUUUUCAACAUGCUCCAUUGGCAGUUAUAUGGGAACAUGCUCCAUAAUGUGGACACUGCAUGCACCUACCUCUGCUUUCCUUCUUGUCACAAACUCUUUAUAACCCAUGUUAUUGAAAUCCUGAAUCACUCAACUGACAUUUUCUCUCUUCCAGAUAAUGCUGUGAGCAUUUUUGUACCAAACUUUUGCCAAGAUAUCUCAGAAGGUCUCAUGGCCAAGGGGCUGGGAUUUCUGUGUUGGCUUUUGCUUUGUUUUCUUCAGUUUGUUCAUUUAAAAACAAGAGAUUGCAUUUUCAAAACAUUGGUACCUGUAGCAGCUGUUGUCAUUCCCAGACUCAAGACAAUUGAGUUUUCCCUUGGCUUUGCCAGUGACUUCUUGUGUGAUUCUGACUGCUCAGAUUCCUUAUCUGUGGCUGCAUUUAUUGCUUGCGGAACUUGAGAAGUAAUUAGUUCCAGGUGUUUUCUAUUAGUUUAUGCAGACUGAGCUAGAACAUUAACAGCAGUGAAUCACAGACCUGAUAAAAAAAUAUUUUUUCUUAUUAAUAGUACUGCUGUUACUAAACAUAUGAGCAAAACUGGAAUCUUAGUGCUUGUAUUUCAGGGGUAGAAAGAAUGACAGAUGGUUCUGCCUGUGGUUUAGUUUUCCUCAUCAUGUGAUGAAGCCCUAAGCCAUGUAUUCUUUUAGAGACAAUGACAACUUAGAGCAAAGAGAGCCAGCACAGAAACCUAUCUCAAUCUUUUGUAAAUACAAGGCCAUAAAGACUGUCUUUAACAUAAUUUUUUCCUGAAAUAGCAUUGGCCCAUUAUGUGGAGACACAGCUUAAGUAACGGGCAUAAAAAGAGGCAGUUAUUGUGAAAAAGCUUUAAAGUCUUCUCUAUUAACUUUCUAUUUUUCUGUACAAGUCAACCCUAUUCUUAAAGGGGAGAUCUUUGCCUGGAAUGGGAGGAUGCUUGUCCCAUCAGUUGGUAAUCGGAACAUCAUUUCCAGAUGGCUUACAGGGUUCUGUUCAGACUUCACCUGAAAAGAAGCAUCUCAGGAGGACCUUUUGCACAUCAUUGUGAUUUUCCAUCAUUUUGAAGCUCAAGAUACAGGGGAGACAGGAAUAGAAUGGUUGAGUGUAGCCAGCAUAUGUGUAAGUGGUCUACACAUAGGGGUGUGUGAGCAAGGAUAGAUGGCAGAGGGUGAAAGAGCAUAUGUAGGUCUAUGGUCAUAGGUAUGUGGGGAACAAGUCUGCUACUAAAAGCACUGCACUGACAAUGCAUGUUGUGUCUCUGAAAUUACAUAGUGUUGAGCAGUUUUACACUUUAUAAACAUAUAAGGUGUAAAGCACAAGGCCAGUUGUGCUCUGCAGGAGAGGCAGAGCUGCCUUUCCCAACAGCAGUAAACCUGACUAAUUGCGCUAGCUGAGCAC
rnacentral:lncRNA from 7 species